CCAGGUGCGGCUCUUCAACUGUGUGUUUCCCGCCACGGUAGCACCGCCACCGGCGCAGCUAGCCCCCUAUCAUGCAGCUAUCACCCUAGCUAUCGCCUGCAGCGACUCGCCACAACGCGCAUGGGCCCAUCCUGGCGGCACAAACAUAGCUUCACAAAAGUCUCAAGUCGCUCCAACAUGCUUGGCCUUGGUCAAAAGGAGGCGCGUGCUUUGCUCAACAACUAGAUAAGCACGACUGCAACCACUGUGGACUGCAACUCUCCGCCACCGAACAGGACCCUCCGACGCAUGAGGCCUCCCUUGAGGUCUUGCUGCAAGGCUUCCUGGUGAGGCUCAGCCCCCGCCACGACCCCAGCAUACCGCCGCACGGUCUUGAAACAGAAGCGGGUUAUGUUUUGCGGCCGCUGCACCGUUUAGUGGUCACGGGGCCGGCGGCAGCUAGUGACCAAGGUGGAGGAAGCGCGGGAUUGGAGGUGGAGCUGUGCCGCCUAGAUGGCCUCCUACUGCUGAACAGUGAAUGGGAAUGGCCGGCUGCAGCAGCGACGGCAGACGCAGCAGGCCCCGGCGGACGGCGUGGCGCAGAUGUCGUGAUUCCUCCGCCGGGCAUUGGGCCUGGCUGUAACGCAGCCUGUGGCGGGGACGGCGCGCAAGGUGCCCCAGCUUCAGCAGCCUCACAACCAAGCUGCGCAUGUAGCAAAUGUCGGUACCUCGCCUGGCGGGGGGUGCUUCGGCUGCCGCUGGAGCGGCUUUGGCCGGAAAGGGAGGAGCCGGGCGAUUCAAAACUUCAGUGGCAGGACUCUUGGUGAGCACGGGCUCUGAUUUUGAUUGUGGGUGACUGUGGCGAUGCGCACUUUAACUGUCUUUUAUGGUAGCAUUUCUCUUCAAGACGCGUAUUGCCAUGAAACGUCGUCUCUGCAGG
rnacentral:lncRNA from 1 species